AUUAAUAAAUAAUUAGAAGAAAAAAUCAGAAGAAAAGAUGGACUUCAUCAAGUUUUAUGAAGCUCCCUACUUUAAACACAAGCCAUUUAGAAGACAUGCUCAAAUUGAUUUGCACUAACCAGAGGUUGAUGAAUCUGCCACAAUUUCUCUAUAUGAGUU